rnacentral:rRNA from 1 species
GACGAACGCUGGCGGCGUGCUUAACACAUGCAAGUCGAACGGUGAAGCGCUUUCCUUUUUGGUUGGUGUGGAUGAGUGGCGAACGGGUGAGUAACACGUGAGUAACCUGCCCCCUUCUUCUGGAUAACCGCAUGAAAGUGUGGCUAAUACGGGAUAUUCUGCGCCUGCUGCAUGGUGGGUGUGGGAAAGAUUGUGCCUUUGGGUGUUUUCGGUGGGGGAUGGGCUCGCGGCCUAUCAGCUUGUUGGUGGGGUGAUGGCCUACCAAGGCGGUGACGGGUAGCCGGCCUGAGAGGGUGGACGGUCACACUGGGACUGAGACACGGCCCAGACUCCUACGGGAGGCAGCAGUGGGGAAUAUGGCACAAUGGGCGCAAGCCUGAUGCAGCGACGCCGCGUGAGGGAUGGAGGCCUUCGGGUUGUGAACCUCUUUCGCCAGUGAAGCAGGCCUGCUCCUUGUGGGUGGGUUGACGGUAGCUGGAUAAGAAGCGCCGGCUAACUACGUG